rfam:Myotis lucifugus cont2.7340, whole genome shotgun sequence.
AUCGCUUCUUGGCCUUUUGGCUAAGAUCAAGUGUAGUAAUUCUGCUCUUGUAAAAUCUCUUUUUUUUCUGCGUAUGAUAGCAAGCCAUGAUCUCUGUGGGGGAAAGAAAGGGAGGAUCAGGAAAAGAAAUCAAAUGAUACAGAACUGUUUUACAUAAAAAGUAAAAAUUUCACAUCAUCUAAUACUACUCUAU